UUGGUUGGCUCUCUUCUCUCUAGGAAAACUAGCCAUGUAAGUUUCGUCUAGUGGCGGUUGUGGGGCUGCUGCUCUUGAGUCAAAAUCCAAAUCGAGUGCGAAUAGUUUUCGCGCUAGAUCUGCUGUUCAUUUUCCCCCAGUUUUUUAGUUGGCGUAGAGACGUUCGUGGCUUUGGAUCGUAGAAACUAACGUAUUGCUUGUAAAUAAAAAAUAAAAAAAAAGUAUUUUUUGUGAUCGUGAAAUAAAAAGGAAGUGGAAGUGUUUUUUGUGUCGCUGUCUGAUUUUCGCUGUCGUCACCGUCGCAGCGGCAGCGGCAGCGCAGUCGACGUCGCCGUCGUUGGGUUUUUGAACUGCGCUGUGCGUUCAACGCCCCCACCGUCCGUCCCCCUCCCCCCAAACCCCUUUUGAUAAACCGCCCUCCCUGUGCCGCCAACCCUCCCAUUUUUUUCGGUUCGCGCUUCGUGCAACUCCAAAAUGUGUGUCUGUGUCGCUGCCGCCAUUAUCGCUCGGCUGAUAAGUACUGGCCUACCUCCCCCAGCCCACCCCACCUUGCCCCACACUGCUGCAGUGCAACAAUCAGUUAUUGGCCCGCCGCUCUAAUGAACGUUGAACUGCAAAUUGCAAAAGCGUACGAAAAUAACAAACAAACUGGAUCAAAGGCGUAGUUGCCGUAGUGGGAGGGGGUUCACAUAAAAAAUUAUAUCAAAAGUGAAUGUAAAGCAAAAGAGUUGUUAUAAAAAAAUAUGAAACAAAAAUUAAUAAUAAUUAUGAAUAAUAAUAAAAACCCCCCUCGAUCGCACGCCCCUGUGAGAUUGGCGUUCUAGCGGUACAUCCGCGUCGCUCGCAUAGCCCCAACGCUCCCACUCGCUCACUCCCACAUGCGCCGCGCGGACUGCUUUGGGUGGGGUGCAUUCACCCCUAGUGCGCUCUCUCUCCCGCUCACACAAUCUCUAACUGGGAAAGAUCACUUUGCUGUUUUGCAAUUACAACCGGCAUUAACCCCUAGGUGGGACGGAGACCUCGACAACAACCUCUCCAGGCAGCGGCGUCGACUGAGGCAGAGCAGUAGCAGAGGUGGCAGCAGCGAUCUUCUUUCUAAUUGGCAACUGCAGUGGGUUAGUCACAAAAAUACACACACAGCUACACACACACAACACACACACUCUCUGGCACACACUCACGCACUUGUUAUCGCCCGAAGGCCCAAAUAUCGGAUGCGUGCAUUGCCCGCUCAAGGCAUUAAUAAAAAAAAUAUAUACAAAAAAAUAUCAAAAAAAAAUAAAGAAAAAAAGGCAAGAAAGCAAAAGCAACUCACGAGGCAGCGAUCGGGCGUAUACGUAAUAUUCCGUAGGAGGUCAACGCCAGCGGAACGCGUUAGAGACGAGGCCCUACAAAAAUAUCGUGUUUACAGGAGAAAAGCUUUGGCAAAGGUUCAAUAACCCCUUAAAAAAAAAAAUACAGAAUACAGAAUACAGAAUGCGGAAUGC